UACAGAGGCCUCGAGCGUUAGGCGGAAUCACUGGGCUUAAAGCGUGUGUAGGCGGACUUCUAAGUACCUUGUGAAAUCCCACGGCUCACCCGUGGAACUGCUCGGUAUACUGGUUGUCUUGAGCCUUCUAGGGGCGAGUGGAACAAAUGGUGGAGCGGUGAAAUGCGUAGAUAUCAUUUGGAACGCCAAUGGUGAAAACAACUCGCUGGGGAAGUGCUGACGCUGAGACACGAAAGCCAGGGGAGCGAACGGGG
rnacentral:rRNA from 1 species